rnacentral:lncRNA from 1 species
GAGAUACACAUUGCUAAAUUGUAAUGCUUAAAAUCAUUAUAUCCAUUAAAAUCUGAGUUUGAAAAUCCAAUCACCUGUGGGUGUGUUGAUUUCUUAUAUGUGAGCAAGUGAUUUUUUGUUUCUUUAAGAUAUCUCAAAAUUUAUUUCAACUUUUUAUUUCUUUAAGUUUCACUAUGCGGACAUUGCUUAAGAUUAAGCUUAUCACCUUUCUGCAUAGGAACAAUACUAGAAGAACACAUUAUCAUGUCAUAUCUCUCAAGAACUUUGUCAAUUAUGCAUUAUGAGACAACCUUAAACCUUCCAACUGAUAUGUCACGGAAAAUUUCAAUCCCAAUCA